UACGUAGGGUGCAAGCGUUACUCGGAAUUACUGGGCGUAAAGCGUGCGCAGGCGGUGAUGUAAGACAGGUGUGAAAUCCCCGGGCUUAACCUGGGAACUGCAUUUGUGACUGCAUCGCUGGAGUGCGGCAGAGGGGGAUGGAAUUCCGCGUGUAGCAGUGAAAUGCGUAGAUAUGCGGAGGAACACCGAUGGCGAAGGCGGCCUGCUGGGCUAUGGCUGACACUGAGGCGCGACAGCGUGGGGAGCAAACAGG
rnacentral:rRNA from 1 species